CAACAAAAAUUAUUACUUUUGCGUCAAAGUAACGCAUCCAUGGUGAAAAUUUUUAACAAACAAAAAAAGGCGUGAUUAUUGCAUAAAUUUUGUGCUAAGUUUGGUGUGCACCGUGAGACACGCUAAAUUUGCAUUAAAAAACUGUAACCUAUGGUUGAAAAAUUAUUGCACCCAAACGUGCUGAGAUAUUGCGUAAAAAUACCGCACCAAUAUCUCGUCAAUACCCACAUUACAUGAGGCGUUAAAAUCAUGCAAUUUAUACGCAAUGAAUGGUGGGUGCGAAGAGACAGGCAACGCGCGAGAGUUUGAAUCUAAGAGAAGCGUGGUAUUUCCUUUUCUCUCCCACCCUCGCAGUCUCGUAAAUUCCCUGUUAAUUUAAUUCCCUGUUAAUUUAUCUGUUGUCUCAAUGUCGCCAAAAAAAUAUUACAUAAUUGAAUUCCCCCCUGAUAAAUACAAUUCAGUGCCUGUGGAGCUUGUUCCAAGUCACUGGGUUAUCCCCGCAGAGAAAGUUUGUCUCUGGCCACCAAACUCUGGGCCAAGUAUUAGAAAUUUGAUAAAAAAAGGGCACUGCUAUUCCUGAUGUCAAGUGGGGAAGAGUUAGCUACGCCAGGAUUAUUGGGAAUUACGAUGAUUAUGAAGUUGCGACAAAAAAACUUCAAGUAGCCGAGGACACUUCCAACUUGGAAAGUGAAACAGAACCAGAAAGCAGAUUAAGGAGCAAGAAGAUAAUUCCCGAUAUUCAGCCCAGCAGCACACGAGGGGAUGUAACGUCUUCAUCCGAUGAGGAGGAUAGCGACGCGAACAUAAACAGUCCUCCGUCUGGCUCACUUCUGGAUAAUUUGGAGCUGGACCAACCAUUGAGCAUUCCUGAAAUAAUUCCCGAAACUGAAGAGCAAAGCAAUCUACAAGUAGGAAAUCAAGUUGAAACUGGAGACACUUCUUUUGUUGUUGUAAAUUCGCAGGAGUUAAAUGAUUUACGGCUGUUGAUUUCAAGUUAGUACAAGCAAAAUAAUUUUAUUAAAAUUGAUGUAUUAUGUUAACGCUUUGUAAUCACGUUGCAGGGACAACGCAA